rnacentral:rRNA from 1 species
UACGUAGGGUGCGAGCGUUGUCCGGAAUUACUGGGCGUAAAGAGCUCGUAGGUGGUUUGUCGCGUUGUUCGUGAAAUCUCACGGCUUAACUGUGAGCGUGCGGGCGAUACGGGCAGACUUGAGUACUGCAGGGGAGACUGGAAUUCCUGGUGUAGCGGUGGAAUGCGCAGAUAUCAGGAGGAACACCGAUGGCGAAGGCAGGUCUCUGGGCAUUAACUGACGCUGAGGAGCGAAAGCAUGGGGAGCGAACAGG